CAUGUCUUAUCACAUGUUGAUAUUAGUCUGAACACUGAUCAACUGUUUUUUCAUUGGUUUGUUACAGUAAAAGAAUUCAUUGAUCACGCAUGUUGUUUUCAGGAGUGCACAGCUGAAGAUAGAAAGAAUUAUGAGAAGCGGAAAUGUGACGAAACAGAAGGACAUGCUUUAGAAGAUGAAACAUCAGUAGGGACGAAC